UACGGGGGGGCAAGCGUUGUUCGGAAUUACUGGGCGUAAAGGGCUCGUAGGUGGCUAACUAAGUCAGACGUGAAAUCCCUCGGCUUAACCGGGGAACUGCAUCUGAUACUGGAUGGCUUGAGAUUGGGAGAGGGAUGCGGAAUUCCAGGUGUAGCGGUGAAAUGCGUAGAUAUCUGGAGGAACACCGGUGGCGAAGGCGGCAUCCUGGACCAACACUGACGCUGAGGAGCGAAAGCCAGGGGAGCAAACGGG
rnacentral:rRNA from 1 species